rnacentral:lncRNA from 1 species
CGAAGGAGUCAACCAUGACACCAAUGACCAAUUAUGUCCUGUUUUUUGAUUAACGCCUAACUUCAUCGUUGGGAUCAAAACGUCUGAUGGAUAAUCAAAACUCUGCCACAACACAGUCUUUGACCCAUUGGGGUGAAAUUGUUGAAGCACAAAGUUACCUGUGUCUAAUAUAGUGGCCAAAGUGUUGUUUAUGGGUUGAGGUGAAGAGUAAAUGAUUAUUGGUUUCCUAUUUUGUGAUUCUAUUUUGAGCACACCAGAAUAAUCUAGUGAUAGAACUGCUGAAUUUAAGUCAAUGGAAUGAUUUCUAUCAUGCAUCUUCGUUUGACACUUACCAUCAGGUGAGCAUCUUCGUUUUCUAAAAUAUCGCUGAAUAGUACACAAAACUUGCCUUGUUUUGAAUAUAGCGUGGAAUUUGCAUCAAAUUUAUCACCUGGCUUCAAACUAUCACUUGUUGCUUCAACACAAAUAUUAGCAACAGUGUUCCACCACAACCAUAGGUAUAUCAAUAGAUCUUGUUUCUUUAUUUCAAAGCUUAUCAUGAUUCAUGAAUAUUUUUUCAAAAAGAAGAGAAAUACUCACCAACUUGUUUCUUGCAAUCUGCACUGCCCAACUUUGGGUUGGAAAUUUGAUACAACUGAUUUUAGACACUUAUCAGAGUUUGUUCUAGUUCACAAAGUUAAUGUCAAAUCAACUUUAUCUUUAUUUUUCCACUACUAAAUGUUGCACAAACUAGACUACCUUUCUCUACUACUUUUUUUAAAAGGAAUAAGAAAAGAGCAGUUUACUUUAGUACAAUAAUAAUUGAAGGAAAAGUAAAUGUAUAGAUAAUAACGUCCCUGUUCACAAGGGACCUAAGUAAAGUUUAUUUUAGUUUAUUGAUUUUUUAAGAACAAAAUUUAUUAGAAAGGAGAGAAGUAGAAAGAGUACUUAAUUAACCCAUAACUCAGGAAAAGUAUAAGAGGUACUUGCCCCGCAAAAAACCAAUCCUAAAUACUCCGUAUAAGGCGUUUGAGUGCCAAAAUAAAUCUUCAAAAAAUAUAUUAAUUCAGUAGCUAAAGAAAUUUGUACUAUUGCGAUUCAAUUGUAAGGAAAGGGCUAAUUGCUAAAAAUAUAUUAAUUCAGGAACCUGAUUACAGUUUUUUUAGUUUAGACACCUGUUUAAAUUUUCUCAAAUAGUUUAGUUACCUACAAAUAUUUCAACCUUUUAUUACUUUCUUUUCUAUUAAAAAAAAAAUAUUGCAAAAAUGAAAGACGUAUUCUUUUCUAGAUAAAAGCAUUUUCAAAAUAUAAAGAAUAAACCAAGUAGCUUAAUUCACUCAAAAAAAAAAAAACCAAGUAGCUUAACAUUGUUAGUAGAUUAAGUUCAAAAGUAUUUCAACAGUAGGAACAGACAACAGUGAAGUAUCAACUUUCCAUUCCAUCACUUAUCAUUAAUUAAUUGUGUCAAUGUAGUGGAGAAAGUGUUGGAGAAAGGUACUCUUGUGGAAUGUAGUGGAAAGUAAAGAUAACGUUGAUUUGUUUAGAUUAUGUGCAUGGCAAAUGAAAUCUGUUGAGAGCCAAUUGAUUUCUUUCUUUGCAAAUUUCCUAUCCAAAAAAGUUGGAGUUCAAAGACGUGCAAUGCAUUGUAGGAUUUGAAACUGAAACCAUCCUUCUAUGUCUCGGUGAGUAUUUUUUUGGAGCAAUCAAAUCAACUUAUAUUAUACUAAUAUAUUAAAUAUCACUCCAAGUUACAAUACAGCUUAUAUAUUAGAUCUAGUAACAUUUGGAAAAGGUUACUAAAUUAAAAACAUAUGUUACUAAAUUUGAUCUAAAAGCAAUUGAUAAAUGUUUGUUAAAGCCUGUGUUACUAAAUAGUCUUAGUAACCUUAGUAUUAGUAACAUGCAAAAAAUGUUACCCAUUUAGUAGCUCAACCAUAGUUAAUUUUCUAGGAUAAAUAAACAAAGAUUAAAUUUAUCAUUCAUGAUCACCAUCUAGAUCUUCUGCUUCAAACUUACAAAUUCUAAAAUAAAAAAAAAUUCAAAGUGAUCAAAUUAAGAAUCACAAAGAAAAUGUUUCUUGUCAUGUCUAGGUAAAUACAUGUAGAAAAUAGAGCCUCAAAUGCUCAAUGUCUUUAAUAACUAAAUUGUUAACCACAAUUGCCAUUUAAUAUGAAGUUAACCUCAAAAUGUUAUCUUUACCAUCAAACUUAAAAUAGACUAAAAUGCUUCUCUCCACCACUUGCUGUCUUGAUCUUUACCAUUCAACUUUAGGCAGAGCCUGAAAUGCUUCUUUCUUCCCACUCAAGUUAUGGUAUCUUUGUUCAUCAACUAUCUCUAUCCACACUAGUACUUAAUUCGAAGAGAAAAGAAAACAAUUCUAGGGUGUGUUUGGGCCAGCUUUUUUUAUGGUUAGAACCAACUUUAAAAUCAAAGUAAACUUGAAGUAAAGUUGUUUGGAAACUUUAGUUUUUUAUUUUAAACUAAAAUUUGUUUGGUAAAUUAUGUAUUUUUUUUUUAUUUUAUAAAAUGAUAUAUUAAAAAAAUUUCAAGAAAUUGAUUUGCGAUAGAAACAUUAUAUUUAUGAUGAUUAUAUCCAUGCUUUAAAAUUUUAUUUCAAAUUAUAAAUUCUUUUACGAUAUAUAAACAAAUAUCAUGCCAAAUUAUAUAUUUAAAUUAAAAUAUUUAUUGUUUGAGAUGUCAUAAACUCUACAACUCUUGAAUUAGAAAAAAAAAAUUGAAAAUUAUAUUGCCUGUCAUUAUAAAAAUAAAGUUGACAAAUUGGAACAGUCAAGAAAACAAAAUAGUUGGAACAAGUUUUACGAAUCCUCUAAAAAAAAUAAACAAGCUUUGAAUGUCAAACAAAUAACAAAAGAAGAAGACAAAUAUGUUUCUAGUGGGAUUCGAAACAGGAGUGGAAAAUGGCAAGGCGCAUAAGUUUGCCUAAAGUUCAAUUUGCCGACUUCUCCUUUUUAUGUUUUUCUUCCUUAAUAUUAAGUCACUUAUUUUUAUUAGGAGUUUCAAAUGAAAUGUGAUUGGCCCAUCUUCUUCUUUAAAGAAGAAGAGAAGUUAAAAUUAAGUCAGGCCAAACACUACUAUCCAAAUUUCUAAGGUAGAAAAUAUAGACAGCAUGUAUCACAUUUUUUGAGAUACAAGACAAAAGUGCCAAAAUUGGCAGCAUGCUAAGGAACAAAAAGAUGCAGAAGAUUAUGAAUAAUGCUAUCUGCAAAACAAUACGCCAUCUACUACAUAUGUUUGCAUGUGCCAAUUCUAUUCUAACACCUAUCUGGCCCAUUGAAGUAUAUAAUUCCAACGUAUGUUGGAGAUUAGCAUCGAAUUUCAUAGUCAAAUUUGUAGUGAAGUUUUCAUCGAGGUCCAAAAGAAAACGAUAGUCGACAAACUAAUUAUUGUGAAUUGAUAAGAUCGAACAAUCAUACACAUUGUGCUCAAACAUAUAGUCAAGCGCGAUCUCAGAAAUAUCCAAUUUGGUCGGCAAGGGUUUCAUUUGCAAUCAAAAUUUCAAUUAGAAGAAUAAAUAUAUAUAUAUAUAUAUAUAUAUAUAUAUAUAUAUAUAUAUAUAUAUAUAUAUAAAUAAACCAAGAAUAAUAAUUUUGGUAAUAUCCAAAAGACAACAAUUAAGAAUUAUAAUACAAAAACCAUGAUAAAAUAAUAUAGUUUCAUAAAUAUGAACAAAAAUCACCAUACCUACUAAGUCAAAACAUAUACCUGCCAUUUUUGUACAUAUAUAUAACUGCUCAUAUUGAAAUAAGUUCUAUUUAUGUGAGCAAUUAAACUAAAAAAUUAUCCAUUUUCGUGAUUGGCAUGCUUUUUAAAUAGUAGAGAUGGGAUUGAUUGGAAAGCUUUUCAGAAACCAAUUUUUAUGGAACUAAUUUGUUAUCUGCCAUUUAUAGACAAAACUUGUUAGAAAAGUGAUUGGUGAUGGAUUAAGAAAUUGUUCAACAAGGAUUAUGAAAAAUCUCAUAUAGACUAAAAUAUAUUAACGAGAACUACCAUGAAAAAAUACACAUUAAACAGAACAUUGCGAGUAUACUUUUACAGACACAGAAAAUGAGUAUAUUUCAUAAACAAAAUCCAUAUUCAGGUGAUUUUUAUUACUUAUAUUUUCCCUUCUACUUCACAUGAGGAAGAAAUUGUUGUCGUAGAAUAGGUGUCGGUGUCUUUCCCUUUGGAAGUUGUUUCCCCCUCAAAGAUAUUUCUUCUAACAUAGAAUGCUGGUCUUCUUGGUAAGGUUGUGAGUUCAUAUUUGUUUGUUAACAUUGAUAUAACAUCAGACAUUGUAGGUCGAUCAUUUGCAUAAUGUUCUACACAUAAGAGACCAACAUGAAUGCACCUUUGCACUUCAUAAGGAACAAAUGUGUCACUUAAAGAUGGAUCCAGUAACUGUAGAUGCUCACCAUCAUUCCAUAGCUCCCAUGCCUAUUAAUAAUAUAAUUAAAUUAUGAACAACGGUUAAUAUUUAUUAAAAAAAACUCAAUGAAAGUAAUUGACAUACAUGUCCGAUUAGAUUUAGUGGACGAUCAUCAUCAUAGAAGCUAUUAUUUUUUCUUCCACAAACAAUUUCAAGCAGCAACACUCCAAAGCUAUAGACAUCAGACUUUGUAGAACAAACUCCUUCCAUGGCAUAUUCUGGAGACAUGUAUCCACUACACCAAAAAUUCAUAACUUUCAAAAAAUAAAGUAUUCACAAAAUCAUCAUAAAAACAUUUAUAACAAAUAAAUUUUAGAAUACUCACUAAGUCCCAACAAUCCGGUUGGUAUUUACUGUGGAUUCCUGUUGUGUAAACAUUCUUGCCAUACCAAAAUCAGAAAUUUUUGGGUUCAUAUUCUCAUCAAGAAGUAUGUUGCUAGCUUUCAAGUCUCUGUGAAUAAUUUUGAGUCUUGAGUACUUAUGAAGAUAGAGUAAUCCUUGAGAAAUUCCUUCUAUUAUGUUGAAACGUGUUUUCCAAUUUAGAAACUUCUUUUUUGUACAAUCUUCUCAAUGAAAACAUAAUAAUUAAUGUUAAAAUGUGUAUUUUAAAGUUAGGAUAACAUCACAUACAAAUAUAGACUUCAACACAUUCUCACCAAAUAGGUAGAAAUCCAAGCUUUUGUUAGGCAUAUAUUCGUAAAUUAGAAUCCUUUCUUCUUCAUGAAUGCAACAACCAAGUAGUUGUACAAGAUUUGUGUGCUGAAGUUCACAUAUAAGUACCAAUUCAUUUUUGAAUUCCACAAUUCCUUGUCCAGAUGUUUUCGAAAGUCUUUUUACAGCAACUUCUUGCCCUGUUGCCAAGAUUCCCUGAAAUAGUAAAAACAAAAGUACAAAUUUUAGGUGCAUUUCUUUAGAUAUCUUUAAUAUGGUUCUUAACUUAAUACAUUUGAAGAAUGCAUAUAAGUUUUUUCCGAAACAAUAAUCACCAACCAUGAAAAACAUUAGCACAUUAGAAAACUUGUUUGCAACAUGAUACUGGUGCCAUAAUUAUAAUAGUAAUUUAAAACAUGCUUUUAAACAAACAUAAUCAUUCACGUAUAAAAAAAUACAAUUUAGCUAUAAAGUCACCUUAUAAACGGGUCCAUAGCCUCCCUGUCCUAACUUGUUUUCAGGGGAAAAGUCCAUAGUUGCUUCCAAGAUUGAUGCAAAGUUAAAAACUUUUAUAUCAUGUCCCUUGAAGUCAUCUUCAAGAUCUUUGAUAUCAUAGUAUUCGACCAAAUCAAUGCUCUUACCUUCCUUUCUUUUACUUUUCUUAUCUACAUAACCGAAAAAAUCAAAGAUAAAGAUAAAACCUAUACAUAUCCAUCUUUUCUUAACUGCAUUGACUAUUUUAAAGUAUCCAUAUACCUUGUAGUGCAUGUUUUUUUUUCUUUUUGGCUUGGCAUAAAAUGAGUGGGCAUAAUAUGAGUAAAGCAAUUGUGAUUGCAGAAACUAUCCAUAUCCACCUUUUAACACCUGCAUUAACUAUACAAGAUCAAUUUGAAUUGUGAUAUAAGCAUAUUCAUCUCAAAUAGUUUAUUCUUUUUGGUCUUAUCCUGAUGCCAAACCCUAAUCCUAUACUUCAAAUUCAAAAUUCUCGUUUAUAAAUAUGACUUUUGGAAUCAUGAGGAUUAUUUUUUUCCAUCACAAGUUUAGUCACCAAAGAGAAACUAUACCCUCAAAUGCUCAAACACUCAUAACUUUCUCUUGACUAAUCCGAUUUCAAUUUCAUCCAUUGCGAUAUAUCUUUAUAACAUCAAGAAUCUUAUUACAAAAGUUUGUUGAUGUUUCAUUUUAAUUUUGGCUAUUGUUUCUAUCACUGAUCAAUAGAAAUAUAUCCCUUUGAAACCUUUCUGUUUUAUUUGAGUUCUUUAGAUCUUGUGAAAUAUAUUUGAUUAGAACGAUUUUGAAGAAGUGAUUGUGAUGAGGAUGUAAAAGUGAUUGCGAUAAAGCAUAUAUGAUGAGUAGUGAUUCUGAUGAAACGAUUAUGAUUAAACAAUUCUGAUGAAGCGAUCGUGAGGAAGCGAUUGUGAGAUGAAGUGAUUCCAUGUCGAGUUAAACCUUAUUUUAAAAUUUAUUAUAGAGGAGGGUGGUUGGGUAGCUCAACAAUUGAGUUAAGGGGUUAAAAAAGUUGUCGAGUUAAAAGGCUAUGAUUGAAGUCAUAACAAAGAAAAAAAAUACUAACACGAUAGUAAUUACUAUACUAACAUUUGCGAUUAAAAUUACGGGUGUUCGUGGUGUGGGUUGGUUCGGUUUUGGGGCUAAAAGUUAUCCGAACUUCAAGAUAAAAAUACAUGCGGUUUGGUAUGGUUGACUUUUAAAAUAAAAUCCGAACCAAACCAAACCAAUGCGGAUUGGGUUGGAUCGGUUGGUGUGGUUUUUUUUUUUAAUUUUUUUUUUAUAUAAAAUAUAAUUCUGUUUCCAACAUUAAUAUCAAGUUAAAAAGUUAAAACACAACAAAUUUUAAACAAUGUUUCCAAAAUUAUAGUUUAAUUUUCAUCCAACGAUGUUUCCAACAAUGCAGUUGAUAAUUAUUGUUAUAGGUGGCAUAGGUUUAAUUAUUGUUUUUCUUUUGUUUCAAUUUGGUUUGGUUUGGUUUGGUUCGGUUGAUAAGAUAAAAACCGCAAACUGAACCAUGCAAUUGUGUAAAAAAAUGAUCCAAAUACAUCUGACCAAAUGCAGUUUUUUGCGGUUUCGGAUUAGGUUGGUUCGGUUUGUGAUUUUCUUAUUGGACUGGUUCGGUUUUGAACAUCCCUAAUUAAAAUAACGAUUUAUAAUGGGUCUCAUUACAAAGAUGUUUGAUUCCAAUAUUUUUAUUUUGUUUGUUUACCGAUUCCAAUCAAUUUUAUUUGUCCUUAGAUUGACAUCCGCUAUCUAAUGGGCUAAAGGAAGUCAAUGUCUACGGUUGAAUAAGCAGAAAAUAAAUAAUCACUUAAAAUGACAUUAUAACUUACGUACCAUGGGAAUUCGGAGCUGAUUUUGUUGGCUUUACCAAGUUGUAAAAGGUAUCCGCAACCACCUGAACAUAUUGUGUCGAAUUCCAUGAAUGGAAUACACAUCCAGUCCCAUUAUCAUAAUAUUCUUGGAAUGCACUGCAAUUACAAUUUUUCCAACAUCUCAUCUUGCAAUCACUGUAACUAUAAGUCACAUCCUCUUCAAACGUUGUUGAAUUGUCAAUGCUUGGUCUUCCCGCCUUUUUCUGAAACACCUCACCAGGUUCCCUGCAAGUUGGUAUAUCCUCCCAUUUUUGGCAUCCUCCAUCACUAUAUCCGUAACACAUAUCUGCAUUAGCAAUAUAUCCAUCAUCACCUACUAACCUCCCUUUCGAGAUUAGUUCCCAUUGUGCAAACUUCCCAUCUUUAACUUCGAACGUGAAAGAAUCUUCAUCCUUGUUAGAGACAAUAAUGUACUGAUACCUAUUUUGAACAUUGGCCGGAAUAUUCUCGAAUAAUCCAUUGCUUUUAAGUUUUCCGCUUUUCCAAUACACUUUGCCGCUUUUCUUGAUGUUCAAUUCUCCUUCUUUUGGUCCCCAUUCAAGAUUAAAUUUAUCUGAAACCAAUGACCAUUUAUGUCCAGUUUUUCGAUUAACUCCCAACUUCAUCAUUGGGAUCAAUACGUCUGUGGGAUAAUCGAAACUCUGCCAUAAUAUACUCUUUGUCCCAUUUGGGUGAAGUUGUUGAAGCACAAAGUUACCCGUGUCUAAAAUAGUGGCCAUAGUGUUGUUGGUAGGUUGAGGUGAAGAGUAAAUGAUUAUUGGUAAUUUCCUAUUUUGAGAUUCUAUUUUGAGCACAC